CAGGAUUCCCCUAGUAACUGCGAGUGAAGCGGGAAAAGCUCAAAUUUAAAAUCUGGCGGUCCCUGUGGUCGUCCGAGUUGUAAUUUAGAGAAGCGUUAUCCGCGCUGGACCGUACACAAGUCUCCUGGAAUGGAGCGUCAUAGAGGGUGAGAAUCCCGUCUUUGGUACGGACUGCCAGGGCAUUGUGAUGCGCUCUCAAAGAGUCGAGUUGUUUGGGAAUGCAGCUCAAAAUGGGUGGUAAAUUCCAUCUAAAGCUAAAUAUUGAGGAGAGACCGAUAGCGAACAAGUACCGUGAGGGAAAGAUGAAAAGAACUUUGGAAAGAGAGUUAAACAGUACGUGAAAUUGCUGAAAGGGAAACGCUUGAAGUCAGUCGCGUCGUCCAGGACUCAGCCUUGCUUUUGCUUGGUGUACUUCUUGUUCGACGGGUCAACAUCAAUUUUGGUCGGUGGAUAAAGGCUUAGAGAAUGUGGCACCUUCGGGUGUGUUAUAGCUCUGGGUCGCAUACAUCGGCUGGGAUUGAGGAACUCAGCACGCCGCAAGGCCGGGUACUUGUACCACGUACGUGCUUAGGAUGUUGGCAUAAUGGCUUUAAUCGACCCGU
rnacentral:sRNA from 1 species